GCCGAAGUGGUGGAAUUGGUAGACACGCUGCCUUGAGGGGGCAGUGGACUUGCGUCCGUGGAGGUUCGAGUCCUCUCUUCGGCACCA
rnacentral:tRNA from 2 species